UACGUAGGGGGCUAGCGUUGUCCGGAAUCAUUGGGCGUAAAGAGCGUGUAGGCGGCUUUACAGGUCCGUUGUGAAAACUCGAGGCUCAACCUCGAGACGCCGGUGGAAACCGUAAGGCUAGAGUCCGGAAGAGGAGAGUGGAAUUCCUGGUGUAGCGGUGAAAUGCGCAGAUAUCAGGAGGAACACCCGUGGCGAAAGCGGCUCUCUGGGACGGUACUGACGCUGAGACGCGAAAGCGUGGGGAGCAAACAGG
rnacentral:rRNA from 1 species